rnacentral:lncRNA from 1 species
AAAAUUGCAUGUUCAAAAGUUUUUUAACUUAGAAUUUUUUUCAAUAUUUUGGUCAUGUCAAUCAAUUGAUGCCUUGCUACAAUCGAUUGAUCAAACUUUCUGUUUUAGAAUUUUUCAUUUUUAAAGUUGGACCAAUCGAUUGAUGAUGUAUGUCAAUUGAUUGAUCUCAGUGUAGUUUUUUCAAUUUUUUGGUUAUGUAAAUCGAUUGGUUAUGUGUGUCAAUCGAUUGAUGCUGGAAAUAUUUUGAAAAAUCUGAAAAAUUA